CCUACGGGAGGCAGCAGUGGGGAAUCUUGCGCAAUGGGCGAAAGCCUGACGCAGCAACGCCGCGUGCGGGAAGAAGGUCUUAGGGUUGUAAACCGCUUUCAGUAGGGACGCGGUACCUACAGAAGAAGGUCCGGCUAACUACGUGCCAGCAGCCGCGGUAAUACGUAGGGACCAAGCGUUGUCCGGAAUCAUUGGGCGUAAAGAGCGUGUAGGCGGCCAAUUAAGUCCUGCGUGAAAUCUCGGGGCUCAACCCCGAGCGGUCGUGGGAAACUGGUUGGCUAGAGUGCGGGAGAGGAGAGUGGAAUUCCUGGUGUAGCGGUGAAAUGCGCAGAUAUCAGGAAGAACACCCGUGGCGAAGGCGGCUCUCUGGAACGCACUGACGCUGAGACGCGAAAGCGUGGGGAGCAAACAGGAUUAGAUACCCUUGUAGUC
rnacentral:rRNA from 1 species